rnacentral:rRNA from 1 species
UACGUAGGGGGCAAGCGUUGUCCGGAUUUAUUGGGCGUAAAGAGCGUGUAGGCGGCUUGGUAGGUCCGCUGUGAAAACUCGAGGCUCAACCUCGAGAUGUCGGCGGAAACCACUUGGCUAGAGUCCGGAAGAGGAGAGUGGAAUUCCUGGUGUAGCGGUGAAAUGCGCAGAUAUCAGGAGGAACACCGGUGGCGAAGGCGGAUCUCUGGGCCAUUACUGACGCUGAGGAGCGAAAGCGUGGGGAGCGAACAGG